rnacentral:rRNA from 1 species
AUUGAACGCUGGCGGCAGGCCUAACACAUGCAAGUCGAGCGGAUGAAGAGAGCUUGCUCUCUGAUUCAGCGGCGGACGGGUGAGUAAUGCCUAGGAAUCUGCCUGGUAGUGGGGGACAACGUUUCGAAAGGAACGCUAAUACCGCAUACGUCCUACGGGAGAAAGUGGGGGAUCUUCGGACCUCACGCUAUCAGAUGAGCCUAGGUACGAUUAGCUAGUUGGUGAGGUAAAGGCUCACCAAGGCGACGAUCGUUAACUGGUCUGAGAGGAUGAUCAGUCACACUGGAACUGAGACACGGUCCAGACUCCUACGGGAGUCAGCAGUGGGGAAUAUUGGACAAUGGGCGAAAGCCUGACCCAGCCAUGCCGCGUGUGUGAAGAAGGUCUUCGGAUUGUAAAGCACUUUAAGUUGGGAGGAAGGGCAGUAAGUUAAUACCUUGCUGUUUUGGCGUUACCGACAGAAUAAGCACCGGCUAACUUCGUGCCAGCCGCCGCAGUAAAAC